rnacentral:misc_RNA from 1 species
GACCUCCUUCUGGAUGGACAUUGGAUCUAGACUCAUUGACAUUCUUUAGUAUAUGUGCAAGGACAUCACUUGAAAUGAAGGCCAAAUUGAGUCCAAAAAGCAAACCGAGCCAUCCUGUAUAGCUCCUUGCACAAUACAUAGAAUAUAAUGUGGUGACAAGUAGUGCAACUCGCUCGUGCCUUGAUGCAAGUGUGAUACCUCCAAGGAAGAUAACAAAGCCUGUUGUCCAGAAACUGCCAUAUAGCCAC